rnacentral:rRNA from 1 species
GAUGAACGCUGGCGGCGUGCCUAAUACAUGCAAGUCGAGCGAACGGACGAGAAGCUUGCUUCUCUGAUGUUAGCGGCGGACGGGUGAGUAACACGUGGAUAACCUACCUAUAAGACUGGGAUAACUUCGGGAAACCGGAGCUAAUACCGGAUGAUAUUUUGAACCGCAUGGUUCAAAAGUGAAAGACGGUCUUGCUGUCACUUAUAGAUGGAUCUGCGCUGCAUUAGCUAGUUGGUAAGGUAACGGCUUACCAAGGCAACGAUGCAUAGCCGACCUGAGAGGGUGAUCGGCCACACUGGAACUGAGACACGGUCCAGACUCCUACGGGAGGCAGCAGUAGGGAAUCUUCCGCAAUGGGCGAAAGCCUGACGGAGCAACGCCGCGUGAGUGAUGAAGGUCUUCGGAUCGUAAAACUCUGUUAUUAGGGAAGAACAUAUGUGUAAGUAACUGUGCACAUCUUGACGGUACCUAAUCAGAAAGCCACGGCUAACUACGUG